CAAAUCCAAGAGAGCUGGACAGACCAUUGAACACACAGUAGGCUGUGUCUCGUGGCUUUCGUUGUCUGGUGCCUCAAAGAAAACACCAGAAAGAUUGUUUCUAAGCUAGAGCCACCCCAGAUUGCUUAAAGUGCAAAGCUCACUGCUGUUGGGGGUACCCUUGUGAGACACUGGAAAGCUGGUUUUACCGUGGCCCUAUGAAGAGGAAGACUGAAAUUUAGACAGUAAUACCUUUACUAGGAUUGGAAAAGAUUUGGUUAAUGACAGCCCUGUCAUUUCUAAAACCCAUUAUCACUGUAUGAGAGAUUCCUUUGCGCUGCAUCCUCGACAGUGCUUCCUAAGGCUCUGCCGACUUCCAGUUCUGGAACAAGAUGGUUAAACUCAUUUUUCCCUGCUCUGCUCCUCUAAAUACAACUAAGUACCUUGGAAACUAUUCAGCAGACAAUGAUAAAGGGCUCUGAAAGCUAGAAGAAAAGGUGUACUUGCAAGAAACCUCAGGACUUGAGUAACAGCAACAUGAACAAUCCAUUUCACAGAUGAAGAAACAGACUCAGUGAGCACGUGAUCACUUCUCACAACUAAUGGAGCCAAGAUUCUGUCCUUAUGGCUCCAGAGACCUCUUUUUUUUCCCACUGUACCACAACACUCACCAGGACUGGAGUGCCACCUAUGACCUCAUUGCAUAAUGGAUGGCUUGUCCUCAAAUGGGCCCGGAGCCUGUUUGGUACUUGCCUGACAGCCCACCUUGAAACCAGAUGGUCAUGAACCUGUCACCAAGUCAUCUGAAGAUCUUCCACUGCAACCUGUAUGGCAUCUGCCACAGGGACCAUGGGACAUGAUUGAAGAACCACUCCAGUGCAGUUGAUGAAGGGGUGGGUCUGCACUGGAGUUAGGUGCACCAGGGCCUGGGCCAAGGGUGGGCUGGGUCCAUCUUGUGUGUGGUGGUCUUCUUCAGAGUAGCAGCUGAUUCAGAGGGAUUCCAUAGAACUGCACAGGCUAGGUCUAGUCAGAUAUCUUGGACAUUUUCUAUUUCUAGAUUAGAGAAUAUAGCAUACGCUGAUUUUAAUAUAACUGUGUAUGUGACUUUUUCAGUGAGAAAAAUUUUAAGUGAUGUUCUAAACAAUUUUUGGCAUGUAGACAGAAUAGUCAAAUAUCUGUUUAACUAGCAACAUAGUUACUCGUGCAUAUUUAAAAUACUACAUGAGUAUGGCCUGGCACAGUGGCUCAUGCCUGUAAUCCUAGCACUCUGGGAGGCCGAGGUGAGCAUAUUGCCUGAGUUCAGUUUGAGACCACUUUGGACAACAUGGUGAAACCCUGACUCUAUAAAAAUACAAAAAUGUAGCCAGGUGUGGUGGUGCGUGCCUGUAGUCCCGGCUACUUGGGAAGCUGAGGUGCAAGAAUUGCCUGAACCUGAGAGGCAGAGGUUGCAGUGACCUGAGAUUGUGUCACUGCACUCCAGCCUAGGUGACAGAGCAAGACUACAUCUCAAAAAAUAAAACAAAAUAAAAUAG
ensembl:lncRNA MIR4435-2HG MIR4435-2 host gene